rnacentral:rRNA from 1 species
AUUGAACGCUGGCGGCAGGCCUAACACAUGCAAGUCGAGGGGUAUAGGUUUUCGGACCUAGAGACCGGCGCACGGGUGCGUAACGCGUAUGCAAUCUACCUUUCACAGAGGGAUAGCCCAGAGAAAUUUGGAUUAAUACCUCAUAGUAUUACGAGAUGGCAUCAUUUUGUAAUUAAAGUCACAACGGUGAAAGAUGAGCAUGCGUCCCAUUAGCUAGUUGGUAAGGUAACGGCUUACCAAGGCUACGAUGGGUAGGGGUCCUGAGAGGGAGAUCCCCCACACUGGUACUGAGACACGGACCAGACUCCUACGGGAGGCAGCAGUGAGGAAUAUUGGACAAUGGGCGCAAGCCUGAUCCAGCCAUGCCGCGUGCAGGAUGACGGUCCUAUGGAUUGUAAACUGCUUUUGCACAGGAAGAAACAACGCUACGUGUAGCGUCUUGACGGUACUGUGAGAAUAAGGAUCGGCUAACUCCGUGCCAGCCGCCGCGGUAA